rnacentral:rRNA from 1 species
CAGUAGCCGCGGGAAUACGGAGGAUCCAAGCGUUAUCCGGAAUCAUUGGGUUUAAAGGGUCCGUAGGCGGUCUUGUAAGUCAGUGGUGAAAGCCCAUCGCUCAACGGUGGAACGGCCAUUGAUACUGCAGGACUUGAAUUAUUGGGAAGUAACUAGAAUAUGUAGUGUAGCGGUGAAAUGCUUAGAGAUUACAUGGAAUACCAAUUGCGAAGGCAGGUUACUACCAAUUGAUUGACGCUGAUGGACGAAAGCGUGGGUAGCGAACAGGAUUAGAUACCCCAGUAGUCCCUGUCUCUUAUAU